rnacentral:rRNA from 1 species
CCUCCGUUCUUCCGCCGUUUUUACUCUUCCUCCCUUUUCUCCCUCCUGCCGGCGCCCCGCCGCGUGAUCGAAUGAAGGCCUUCGGGUUGUAAAGAUCUGUUGACAGGGACGAAUAAGCCAUGCGAAUAGUUUGGUGUAUGACGGUACCUGUUUAGAAAGCUCCGGCUAACUACGUGCCAGCAGCCGCGGUAAUACGUAGGGAGCAAGCGUUGUCCGGAAUUACUGGGCGUAAAGGGCGCGUAGGUGGGUGCUUAAGUCAGGUGUGAAAACUCUGGGCUCAACCUGGAGACUGCACUUGAAACUGGGUAUCUUGAGGGCAGGAGAGGAAAGUGGAAUUCCUAGUGUAGCGGUGAAAUGCGUAGAUAUUAGGAGGAACACCAGUGGCGAAGGCGACUUUCUGGACUGUACCUGACGCUGAGGCGCGAAAGCGUGGGUAGCGAACGGGAUUAGAUACCCCGUGUAGUC